rnacentral:rRNA from 1 species
UACGAAGGGGGCGAGCGUUGUUCGGAUUUACUGGGCGUAAAGGGCGCGUAGGUGGCCAUCUAAGUCAGACGUGAAAUCCCCCGGCUUAACCUGGGAACUGCGUCUGAUACUGGACGGCUUGAGUAUGGGAGAGGAAUGUAGAAUUCCAGGUGUAGCGGUGAAAUGCGUAGAUAUCAGGAAGAACACCCGUGGCGAAAGCGGCUCUCUGGGACGGUACUGACGCUGAGACGCGAAAGCGUGGGGAGCGAACAGG